ACAGAGGGUGCAAGCGUUAAUCGGAAUUACUGGGCGUAAAGAGUGCGUAGGCGGAUAAUUAAGUCAUAUGUGAAAGCCCCGGGCUUAACCUGGGAAUUGCAUCUGAUACUGGUUAUCUAGAGUAUGGUAGAGGAUAGUGGAAUUUCUGGUGCAGCGGUGAAAUGCGUAGAUAUAGGAAGGAACACCAGUGGCGAAGGCGACCACCUGGACUGAUACUGACACUGAGGUGCGAAAGCGUGGGGAGCAAACAGGA
rnacentral:rRNA from 1 species